rnacentral:miRNA from 1 species
AGUUGAUCCAAGUAGUCUUGCCU